GACGAACGCUGGCGGCGUGCUUAACACAUGCAAGUCGAACGAUGAAGAAGAGAAACGCGAACUUCGGUUCAAAUUUCACUUCGGAUUAGUGGCAGACGGGUGAGUAACGCGUGAGCAACCUACCUCUUACAAAGGGAUAGCCUCGGGAAACCGUGAUUAAUACCAUAUGACACAUUCAUAAGGCAUCUUAAGAAUGUUAAAGCUACGGCGGUAAGGGAUGGGCUCGCGUCCCAUUAGCUAGUUGGUGAGGUAACGGCCCACCAAGGCGACGAUGGGUAACCGGCCUGAGAGGGUGAACGGUCACAUUGGAACUGAGACACGGUCCAAACUCCUACGGGAGGCAGCAGUGGGGAAUAUUGCACAAUGGAGGGAACUCUGAUGCAGCGACGCCGCGUGAGCGAUGAAGGAAUUCGUUUCGUAAAGCUCUGUUCUAUGGGAAGAAAAGGACUGUACCAUAGGAGAAAGCCCCGGCUAAAUACGUG
rnacentral:rRNA from 1 species